UACGGGGGGGGCAAGCGUUGUUCGGAAUUACUGGGCGUAAAGGGCGCGUAGGCGGCGUGUUAAGUCAGCUGUGAAAUCUCCAAGCUUAACUUGGAACGGUCAGCUGAUACUGAUGUGCUAGAGUGCAGAAGGGGCAACCGGAAUUCUUGGUGUAGCGGUGAAAUGCGUAGAUAUCAAGAGGAACACCUGAGGUGAAGACGGGUUGCUGGGCUGACACUGACGCUGAGGCGCGAAAGCUAGGGUAGCAAACGGG
rnacentral:rRNA from 1 species